AUUGAACGCUGGCGGCAGGCCUAACACAUGCAAGUCGAGCGGAGCGGCGGACGGGUGCGUAAUGCCUAGGAAUCUGCCUGGUAGUGGGGGAUAACGUCCGGAAACGGGCGCUAAUACCGCAUACUAUCAGAUGAGCCUAGGUCGGAUUAGCUAGUUGGUGGGGUAAAGGCCUACCAAGGCGACGAUCCGUAACUGGUCUGAGGGGAUGAUCAGUCACCCUGGAACUGAGACACGGUCCACACUCCUCCCUCCUUCCCCCUUUCUUCCUAUUCCACCCUUUUCGAAAGCCUGAUCCAGCCAUGCCGCGUGUGUGAAUACCUUCUUCUGAUUUUCACGCACUUUAAGUUGGGAGGCGUUACCAACAGAAUAAGCACCGGCUAACUUCGUGACAGCAGCCGCGGUAAUAC
rnacentral:rRNA from 1 species